UCCACUCUCACAGGCUCAUCCCUACACGGCUACACAUUCAAAUUUCAAAUUUCUCUAAAACUUCAUUUUUCCAGAUCUAAAUGAUUUUAUUCUUCUUCUUCUACUGCUUCUGCAUCUCUAUUUAGAUUUAUCGAUCUCUAAUUAAGCGCUGAAAUGAAGUUAAAGAUAAACAAAGCCUGUGAUUUAAAUUCCAUUUCAGUUCUUCCUCCUCAUUCCAGACGACCAAAUGGAAUCACAUCUGGAAGUGAUUCUUCGAUUUUUGGUAGAAGUAUGCUUCGAUCUCAACAACCUUCUCAAGGAAUGUCAUCUCAACUUUCUCAAUUGAUGUCAUCUCAGCUAUCUCAAAACUCUAUUGAUAACAUUAUUAAUAACGAACAGAGAUUUGCUUCUCAAGAAAGAGAGAAUUCUGCAAAGAGGAUUUCUUGUCUAGCACCGAGUUCUCUUGGAAGAGAAGAGACUCAGAUGCCGAAUUCAAGAUCUUCAAACAAUUAUCAGCCUAGAUGGGGAUCUGCUCCUCCUCCUGUUACAGAUCAUCAUAGAUGUCAGGUUAGUGAUGAACUGGAACACAGGAUUGGACAGAUUGAGACUACGCAGAAUCGUCAUGGGAUGAUCCUUGAAUCUAUACAGGGCGACGUCAUGCAAGUAAAGAAGCAUAUGCAAGAGUGCGCAUUGGACAUUGAAGGUAUAAAGCAGAAAUUGGCAGGCCAUGAUAACUCAUUGCAGCUAGUGCUCAAGGGAGAGGAAGAUAUCAAAAAUACCCUCGAUGAAAGCUUCAAAUCCUUUCCUGUUCAGCUCAGAAAGGAAGUACACCAAGAUAUUAUCUCUGCAAUUUCAACAUUUCAGAAUCACAACGAAAAACAGAUGCUCAAGUUAACAACUGAACUUUCUGGAGCAGUAGCCAACUCAGUGAAGGAAAUAACUGGUUUUCUGCAGCCUUUGGACAAUAAUGAAUCAGUUCCCAGUAUGCUUAAGCUGAAAGAGAGAGAGUGCCACCCUGUUCAAUCUCAAAACAUGGAACCUGCAAUGAAUAGUGCCGUCUUGCCUCAAAGAGUAAAUACAAGAAGUAAGCGUAAACCAGAGAAAAAAGCGGAAACUCGGCGAUCAUCAAAACAGAAACCAGAUUCAUUUGCGAAUGCACAUCGAAGUAAAAUUAAUGUACCAGAGGAAAUUCCUCUUAUAAACCUGGAUGAAGAAUGUGAAUGGGAUGCAGAGCUCGAUGGUGGUUUUGCCUGCUUACUUGGAGAAAUAGAAACAGGUGUUGGAAGCAGUUUCUUUGAUGAAUCUCAGGUAGAAACUGAUCAGAUUCUUAAGAAAGCUAGAAGAAGAAGCAGAAAAGUUAGCAGUGUUAUAGUUUUAAAUUAAUGAUACUACAGCCUACAGGGGCAUGCUUGUUAUAUGGGCUAUUUCUGCUAUCGCUUAUGUUGUUAAAAAAAUGUCUGAAAUAGCCCAAUUCAGGAUAGAGAGAGAGAGAUGCAACACGUAAUGUAAAAAAAGUUUUGGUGCAGAUUCAUAGUAGUAGGUGAUUAGACCAUGAACUGAACUUCACAUCAGGUAAACAUGUGCAGCUCUGCAAAAAAGUAACAGAAAUGGAGUACUAUACCUCCCCAUGUCCCUACAGAUAAGAACCGAGUGUUAUGGUUAGUUGGUUGGUGCCCUAACUCUUUUUAUCAUGUUACAUUGUUUGUCUCCUUAGUGCAGCAAUUAGUAAAUAAUGGACCCUGUCAGUUUAACUUUUUACCCAUUUUGAUCAGAGAAUGAGAAAGUGGGAUCUGUACCAAAAACUUAUAGUUGGAAAUAGAAUCAUGAAAGCUUUACAACUACUACUUAGGAACAUAACUAGCUCCAGCUUUUUCAAAGUAAUUGAGAUUUUUUAACCCAGGUUUAAAGUUCUCAUUUUACAUGUGAAAGUUCAGUUUUGCAUUCUCUGUCUUUGGACAAACUGAAAUAUAUCCGUUCCGGUAGAAUUGCACUUGCACAC